rnacentral:rRNA from 1 species
GUAACGCGUGGGUAACCUGCCUUGUACUGGGGGACAACAGUUAGAAAUGACUGCUAAUACCGCAUAAGCGCACAGUAUCGCAUGAUACAGUGUGAAAAACUACCGGUGGUACAAGAUGGACCCGCGUCUGAUUAGCUAGUUGGUAAGGUAACAGCUUACCAAGGCGACGAUCAGUAGCCGACCUGAGAGGGUGACCGGCCACAUUGGGACUGAGACACGGCCCAA